UAUGAUUAUUAGUAAAUUUUAAUUUAAUAAUUUUUUGGAACUUUUGUAUAAUGUUACAGAUUAUUGGUCUGACAUAGUAGGGAGAGUAGAGUAGCGACAUCGUAAAAUAUAUGCGAAUAAGAAUAAAAUGUGUAGGGGUAAAAGAAUACAGAUAAGAAAUUAUCUUCAUGAUAGAUACUCUCUCUAGUUUACCGCAUUUUUGUUUUAAUAUUUCGUGAUUUUAUUAUGUCACUUAAGAUUAUUAUUUCUAUUUUU
rnacentral:lncRNA from 1 species